rnacentral:rRNA from 1 species
GACGAACGCUGGCGGCGUGCUUAACACAUGCAAGUCGAACGGAAAGGCCCUGCUUUUGUGGGGUGCUCGAGUGGCGAACGGGUGAGUAACACGUGAGUAACCUGCCCUUGACUUUGGGAUAACUUCAGGAAACUGGGGCUAAUACCGGAUAGGAGCUCCUGCUGCAUGGUGGGGGUUGGAAAGUUUCGGCGGUUGGGGCUGGACUCGCGGCUUAUCGGCUUGUUUGUGGGGUAGUGGCUUACCAAGGCUUUGACGGGUAGCCGGCCUGAGAGGGUGACCGGCGACAUUGGGACUGAGAUACGCACCAGAAUCCUACGGGAGGCAGCAGUGGAGAAUAUUGCACAAUGGGCCGGAGCGUGAUGCAGCAACGCCGCGUGCGGAAUGACGGCUUUUGGGUUGUAAACCGAUUUCGCCUGUGACGAGGCGUGAGUGACGGUAAUGGGUAAAGAAGCACCGGCUAACUACGUG